CAACCUCAGAUCAGACAGGACUACCC
rnacentral:rRNA from 1 species